rnacentral:lncRNA from 1 species
AGGAGCCAAGGCCUGGCUGGGUUUGUGCUGGGUCAGCCUCUGUCUCCACGCCAGCGGCCCACACCAAUCCAUUCCGCCCUCAAACCUGACGUUCUCCUUGGUUACAAGCUGGUGAUUUUCAAAAAGACUUUUCUGUUUCUUUUUCGGCCGUAGCAACCUGCUCUCUUAAAUAGCUUCUUUAUCUGGUGCGGUAAUUACGGUCUGUGACUAACUGCCGCAGUUCAUAAACACGGGGUUUACCGUUAGGGUCAGUAGUUCUCGGUCUUGUCUGAAUGGCAACUCCCCCAGCUGAGCUCAGCACUGAGCAAGGUACCUCUCCUUCCGCACUGGGCUGGUUCUCCCUGGUGCGAAUCACCGUGGGAGGGUUCCAGUCGUCUGUUAUAAAAAGAGGUCACAUUUUUAUUAAAAUUGAAGUCUAAUACCAAAACACGCUUCAAGAGGUUGUUGCCUGGACAUUUUAAUUUCCCCUUAAACUUCUUUUCAUGUUCCAAAUGAUCGGCAGUGUGCACACAUCUCUUGUAUAUUCAGGAAGAGAGAGGGAAAAAAAAUGCCUUUUCAAAAAGUAAUUCAUAGGGGCUGGUGAGAUAGCUCAGAUGGUAAAGGCAUUUAUAGCGCAAGCUGGACAACAUGAGCGCCAUCCCGGGAACCCACGCGGUGGGAGGAGAGAACUGCUUCCCCAAAGCUGCCCUCUGAUUUCCAUGCAGUUGGUAUGGCAUGUGUGCCCUCCUUCCAUCCACACAAUAAAGACUAUAAAACCUUUUUUUUUUCAAGACAAGGUUUCCUUGUGUAGUCCUGGCUGUCCUAGAACUCUCUCUUUAGACCAGGAUGGCCUCGAACUCCCAGAGAUCUGCCUGCAUCUGCCUCUCAAGUGCUGGGAUUAAAGGCAUGCGCCACCACUGCCUGGCCCAAGUAUAAAACUUUUAAAAGAAAAUGUCAUAGAAAAUCUACAGGAUCUAAGUUUGGAGAAGAGGGUUCUUAGACAAUGUCAAAAGCAUAACCCACAUGGAACAAUUGGUAAAAUUAACUUUACACAAUUUUUUUUUUAAUUCCCCAAGAAAGUCUUUGCUAAAAGGAGCAGUUGAUGAGAUGACCUGCUGUGGAAAAUCUCUGCAAACCAUACAUUCUAAGACAAGAAUCUAUUUUGUGUUUAUGUAAUUCUCAAAUUUUUAUAUAUAAAGUUAGAAGGAGAGAAAAUACAAAAUUAAAAACUAAGCCAAUGAAAAGCUUAUUGGAACAGUGGAGGCAAAAACAUAGGGGUGUCCAGUUGUAGGUAGGCUGAGACAGGAGGAUUGAGGUCCCCAAGCCAGCCUAGGUUACCCAGCAAGAUCAAGUCAUUGUGACUCUUCCCCCCCACCCAAAAGAUGCUGAGAAUUCAAAGAGCUAGAUCAUAGCUGUGUUGCUAGUGAGAGCCUAAAUCAGUGGUUCUCAACCCGUGGGUCAGGACCCCUCCUGAAUGAUCUGUUUACUGGGGUCACCUAAGACCCAGCAGAAGCCACAAAUAUUUACAUUAUGAUUCAUAACAGCAGCAAAAUUACAGUUAUGAAGUAGCAAUAAAAAUAACUAUAUGGUUGAAGGUCACCACAACAUGAAGAACUGUAUUAAAGGGUCACAUUAGGAAGGUUGAGACCCACUGCCUUAAACGGUCCAUCCUCUCUGAAGCUAGUUUGGUACUCUCUUAAAAACUAAGCAUGUACCCUGUCCAUGAUACGACUGCAAUCGUAUUUCUUGCCUUUUAUCUCAAGUAAAGAAAGUUCAUAACCUACACAACCCUCCGCCCACCAGUGUUAAUAGCCACAGGACAUCCUGCUGGCUGGAAACAGAGGAUCGCAAAGUCAAAUACUGUAUGACUCUACCUACCUAAUUAUAAACAGCCUACACAUGGCAACAUGGCCGAGAUGGAGAAAUGGAGCGAUUGCCAUUGGUUAGGAUCGGUAGGUAGAGGUGUGAAUUAAAGACUGGCAGGAAAGCGAGCAUCUUGGGGAAGAAAUGGCUGUGACUCUUUGUUUCAGUUCUAACAAGUCUCUCGGGGUUAGAAGAGCAAACGUUGAUUGUAUCAAUGUCAACUUCCUGGAUUCCAUUUGGACACAGUAAUGUAAGAUUAUAACCACUGAGGGGAAACCCAGUACUAGGACCUGGCCUACUAUCUUUGCAACUUCCUGUGAGUGGCUCAUGCUUUUCAAACAAAAAGCCUUUUGAACGAGUAAUUUAUGCUGUGUAGAAAACUAUAGAAGAUGGAGAGAAAUAUAAAAUUGUUAUUUUUAAAAUUUAGAACCUUUGGGUAUUUGUUUUAAGAUAUUGGAAGUUAUUGUUUAAUUUCUGGUUUCGAUCCUCACCCCCAAAGACAUGAUUGACAUAACAUAAACCACUGCUUUAAGUUUUUUUCUAUUAUGAUUAUGUGCAUGCUUUUGCAGAGGUCAGAAAACUUACAGGAAUGGACUCUGUUCUUUCAUGUAAAUGACUGGGAUUGAACUCAGAUCCUCAGCCUUGGUAGCAAAGACCCUUUACCCAUAUUUGCAUCUUCACUAUUGUAUUAUUUCAGAACAUUUUCACCGUACUCAAGCAAACCCUAAACCCAUUUCCAAGCUCUGUUCAUUUUCCUUUGUGUCUAACCUGUGGGCUGUGACCUCUUUUGGGGUCACCCAUCAGACCAUCAGAAAACACAGAUAUUUACAUUAUGAUUCAUAAUGGUAGCAAAAUUACAGUUAUGAAGUAGCAACAAAAAUAAUUUUAUGGUUGAGGGGGGGUCACUACAACAUGAGGAACUGUAUUAAAGGGUUGCAGCAUUAGGAAGAUUGAGAGCCACUGCCCUAGUCCCUGCGGAUCACAGAUCUGCAUACUGCCUCUCCAUUUGUGUCUGCUUUUUUUUUUCACUGAGUAUGUUGUUUUUAAGGUUUCUUAGUUCUGUAGCUCACAACAGUAGACCAUUCCUUUUUUAUGAAUAAAUGUUAUUCCAC